ACACUCUAGUUUCUUUUCAGAUCCCUUACAUUUUUCGCCUUUUACUAACGAUUUCCGUGGAAAGGAACAUUGAGUAUCAACACAUUUUUUGAUGUCCGGCCGUAUGGUUGCAC
ensembl:snRNA U5 U5 spliceosomal RNA